rnacentral:sRNA from 12 species
AAGAAUAUUAUAUAUUCUUAAAGAUGACUAAUGAUAAUUAUACUAGGACGCUUCUUGCAUGGUUAAAGUUUUAUUCAUUUACUUUAAUUUCAUUGGUAUAUAUUUAAGUAAGUAGAUUAAAUGAAUCGAUAAAUUUAUUGAGUCUUAUACAUUAGUUUCAAAGGAGAAUUUUGGUUC